UACGUAGGGGGCUAGCGUUGUCCGGAAUUACUGGGCGUAAAGAGCUCGUAGGUGGUUUGUCGCGUUGUUCGUGAAAACUCACAACUCAAUUGUGGGCGUGCGGGCGAUACGGGCAGACUGGAGUACUGCAGGGGAGACUGGAAUUCCUGGUGUAGCGGUGGAAUGCGCAGAUAUCAGGAGGAACACCGGUGGCGAAGGCGGGUCUCUGGGCAGUAACUGACGCUGAGGAGCGAAAGCGUGGGGAGCGAACAGG
rnacentral:rRNA from 1 species